GUGAAGCUUCGCCUGGGUGUCUGGACACCAGAUGAGAAGCCUGCACCUCGCUAUCAGUCUGAAGGUGGAGCUUCUCUUGGGCAUCAGGACACCAGAUGAGAAGCCUGCACCUGAUUUCACAUCAGGAUGUGGAGAUUUGCCAGGGUGUCAUGACAGCAGAUGAGAAGCCUGCACCUCACUUCACAUCUGAAGGUGGAGCUUCGCCUGGAUGUCAGGACACCAGAUGAGAAGCCUGCCCCUCAUUUGACAUCUGAAGGUGGAGCUUCACCUGGGUGUCAGGACACCAGAUGAGAA